UACGUAGGGUACGAGCGUUAAUCGGAAUUACUGGGCGUAAAGUGUGCGCAGGCGGCACCGCAAGUCGAGUGUGAAAGCCCCGGGCUUAACUUGGGAAUUGCGCUCGAAACUAUGGUGCUGGAGUGUGGCAGAGGAAGGUGGAAUUCCAGGUGUAGCGGUGAAAUGCGUAGAGAUCUGGAGGAACACCGAUGGCGAAGGCAGCCUUCUGGGCCAACACUGACGCUCAUGCACGAAAGCGUGGGGAGCAAACAGG
rnacentral:rRNA from 1 species